AUCUUGUCUGCCCGCCGCUGGCCUGGCCCCGUCUGUCUCUCUCAGCAGCUGUCUUUCUCGCGCCCACUGGCCGGUCUCUCCUCUUCCCCGCAGUUGCCUCCUUCUCUGCCUGCCUGGGUGGCCGCCAUGGGCCGGAAGCGGCUCAUCACUGAUUCCUACCCGGUUGUGAAGAGGAGGGAGGGGCCCGCUGGGCACAGCAAGGGGGAGCUGGCACCCGAGCUAGGUCUCUGAGGUGUGAGGGAGGCAGGAGGAGUGGACACGGAGGGGCCUAGAGGAGGCCCCUAGAGGGGCGGAGGGGCCGAUGGAAAGGGAAAGGUGGCCUGUCCUCCCCUCCCGACACCAGGUCUAGCUGCGGGGUGGCAGAGGCAAAGCGGUGGUGAGGAAGGCUGGGAGGUGAGGGGCAGGAGACUGAAGCCAACCUCGUACUGAAGAGCAGCUGUCAUUGCAGGGGAGGAGCCCCAGCCCCGCGACGAGGAGGAAGCGGAGCUGGAGCUGCUGAGGCAGUUUGACCUGGCCUGGCAGUACGGGCCCUGCACCGGGAUCACACGGCUGCAGCGCUGGUGUCGGGCCAAGCAGAUGGGCUUGGAGCCUCCCCCAGAGGUGUGGCAGGUGCUGAAGACCCACCCCGGAGACCCCCGCUUCCAGUGCAGGUCAGAGACAGGCCGGGAGGGCUUUCAGGGGAGCCAGGGCCUUCUCCAGGCACUGUCACCCUGCUGUCCUGACCUGAGGGAGAAAUGGAUGGAGGGUUGGAAGGCCUUGCUGAACAGGCAAGAAGAUUCUAUGAGGUGCCUGGCUCAGGAGGACACGCC
rnacentral:lncRNA from 1 species